UACAGAGGGUGCAAGCGUUGUUCGGAAUCAUUGGGCGUAAAGGGCGUGUAGGCGGUUUGUUAAGUCAUGUGUGAAAUCCCUCGGCUCAACCUGGGAAUGGCAUUGGAAACUGGCGACCUAGAGUGCGGUAGAGGGCAGUGGGAAUUCCCCGGUGUAGCAGUGAAAUGCGUAGAGAUCGGGAGGAACAUCUGUGGCGAAGGCGACUGCCUGGACCAGCACUGACACUGAGGCACGAAAGCGUGGGGAGCAAACAGG
rnacentral:rRNA from 1 species